UACGUAGGUGGCAAGCGUUAUCCGGAAUUAUUGGGCGUAAAGAGCGCGCAGGUGGUUGAUUAAGUCUGAUGUGAAAGCCCACGGCUCAACCGUGGAAGGUCAUUGGAAACUGGGGAACUUGAAUGCAGAAGAGGAGAGUGGAAUUCCAUGUGUAGCGGUGAAAUGCGUAGAUAUAUGGAGGAACACCAGUGGCGAAGGCGACUCUCUGGUCUGUUAUUGACGCUGAGGCUCGAAAGCGUGGGGAGCAAACAGGAUUAGA
rnacentral:rRNA from 1 species